GACGAACGCUGGCGGCGCGCUUAACACAUGCAAGUCGAGCGAGAACCAGGACUUCGGUCCUGGGGACAGCGGCGAACGGGUGAGUAACACGUGGGUAAUCUGCCCUCGAUUCUGGGAUAGCCCGGGGAAACCCGGAUUAAUACCGGAUAGCCUUUCGUGCUCUCGGGUGCGAAAGAAAAGGUAGCUUCGGCCCCCGAUCGAGGAUGAGCCCGCGGUGGAUUAGCUUGUUGGCGGGGUAAUGGCCCACCAAGGCGACGAUCCAUAGCUGGUCUGAGAGGACGAUCAGCCACACUGGGACUGAGACACGGCCCAGACUCCUACGGGAGGCAGCAGUAGGGAAUCUUCCACAAUGGACGAAAGUCUGAUGGAGCAACGCCGCGUGAGCGAUGAAGGCCUUCGGGUCGUAAAGCUCUGUUGUUAGGGAAGAACAAGUACCGGAGUAACUGCCGGUACCUUGACGGUACCUAACCAGAAAGCCACGGCUAACUACGUGCCAGCCGCCGCGGUAAAAC
rnacentral:rRNA from 1 species